CAGCUCACACCUUCAAAAGGUGCCGUUAAUAGCACCAGCCAGUUAAACGUUCAGUACGGCAAUAAUUUUGUCUCCAUGCUUUUGACAAUUUGUUUCACGCCUCAUUUACUA